CCCAGACUCCUACGGGAGGCAGCAGUGAGGGAUAUUGGUCAAUGGGGGAAACCCUGAACCAGCAACGCCGCGUGAGGGAAGACGGUUUUCGGAUUGUAAACCUCUGUCCUCUGUGAAGAUAAUGACGGUAGCAGAGGAGGAAGCUCCGGCUAACUACGUGCCAGCAGCCGCGGUAAUACGGAGGAUGCGAGCGUUAUCCGGAUUUAUUGGGUUUAAAGGGUGCGUAGGCGGGAUGCUAAGUCAGCGGUAAAAUUGCGGUGCUCAACGCCGUAGAGCCGUUGAAACUGGCGUUCUUGAGUGGGCGAGAAGUAUGCGGAAUGCGUGGUGUAGCGGUGAAAUGCAUAGAUAUCACGCAGAACCCCGAUUGCGAAGGCAGCAUACCGGCGCCCAACUGACGCUGAGGCACGAAAGUGCGGGUAUCGAACAGGAUUAGAUACCCGAGUACAA
rnacentral:rRNA from 1 species